rnacentral:lncRNA from 1 species
CUGACGGAUGUGUAGCUUAAGGGAGAAAUAGCCCUUUAGCAAGGGAAGAGGCUGGGAUGUGGGAGAUAUUUGUUACUGCAGAAAAAGCCUAGCCUAUUUGCCCCAAGGAAUGUCUUCAGAAUUCAGUUCCACGAGCAGCACUUGAUUGUGAAGUUCACGUCCAGCACUUUCUCCCCGCCUUUGGCAGAUGAAAUGCGACAGCACUGCUCUCUGUAGUCUGGCCACCGCCUGUGUAUGCAAGAAUCUCCAGGGCCUCAAGGGAAGUAUCUUUGAAUAGAACAUAGCACUGCGGCAGACCUUUCAGCCAGGUAAAAGUUCGAGAGCCGAUUGCCAAGGGCAAGGCAAAGAGAGUGGGAGGAGGAGGUGUUAUUUAAAUAUUUAUGUAUAGACACAAAUAUGCAUUCAUUUCUAUGAGGGUCUAUAACCAGGAAAAUUGCAUUUUAACAAUGAGUACAUUCACAAAGAAAAUUCAUUGUGGAAUUAAUAGUGGUUGUUUAGUUGGUUUUCACAAGGCCAAUGUUCAUUGAGAUGUGGAAUGAUGAGAGGCAGCUGUGUUAUUGAACAAAAAUGCUACAGAAGAGUCCAAGGAUGGGGUAAUCUCUGGUCCAAUCUAUAUAAAUUCUUAGCCAUACAGCACUGGAAGCUAUAGGAUAGAAGUUAGCUGUGUUUGGACCAGUGUGGUAGAGGGGCCAAGAAGGCACGGUGUCAGAUCUUGGGCUGGGAGAUCCUACACAUGUCAUUUAAUGUCAG